rnacentral:rRNA from 1 species
UGACUGCUAAUACCGGAUAUGCCCUCGGGUGAAAGUUUUAAUGCCUGUAGAUGAGCUUGCGUCCGAUUAGCUAGAUGGAGUGGUAAAGGCACACCAUGGCAACGAUCGGUAACUGGUCUGAGAGGAUGACCAGUCACACUGGAACUGAGACACGGUCCAGACUCCUACGGGAGGCAGCAGUGGGGAAUUUUCCGCAAUGGGCGAAAGCCUGACGGAGCAAUACCGCGUGAGGGACGAAGGUCUGUGGAUUGUAAACCUCUUUUGUUAGGGAAGAUAAUGACGGUACCUAACGAAUAAGCAUCGGCUAACUCCGUGCCAGCAGCCGCGGUAAGACGGAGGAUGCAAGCGUUAUCCGGAAUUAUUGGGCGUAAAGCGUACGUAGGCUGUUAGAUAAGUCUGUUGUCAAAGCGCGAGGCUCAACCUUGUAAAGGCAAUGGAAACUGUUUGACUAGAGAGAGAUAGGGGCAGGAGGAAUUCCAGGUGUAGCGGUGAAAUGCGUAGAUAUCUGGAAGAACACCAGUGGCGAAAGCGUCCUGCUGGAUCUCAACUGACGCUGAAGUACGAAAGCUAGGGGAGCGAAUGGGAUUAGAUACCCCAGUAGUC